rnacentral:tRNA from 1 species
GGGCGGUUAGCUCAGUUGGUUAGAGCGUGGUGCUAAUAACGCCAGGUCGCGGGUUCGACCCCCGCACGGGCCA